rnacentral:rRNA from 1 species
GAUGAACGCUGGCGGCGUGCCUAAUACAUGCAAGUCGAGCGAACGGACGAGAAGCUUGCUUCUCUGAUGUUAGCGGCGGACGGGUGAGUAACACGUGGAUAACCUACCUAUAAGACUGGGAUAACUUCGGGAAACCGGAGCUAAUACCGGAUAAUAUUUUGAACCGCAUGGUUCAAAAGUGAAAGACGGUCUUGCUGUCACUUAUAGAUGGAUCCGCGCUGCAUUAGCUAGUUGGUAAGGUAACGGCUUACCAAGGCAACGAUGCAUAGCCGACCUGAGAGGGGGGAGGCCCACCGGGAGGCGGAGCCACGACACAGGCCCUAAGGGGAGGAAGGAGUGGGGAAGUUUGGCAAUGGGGGGAAAGCCUGAAGGAGGAACGCCGGGGGGAUGGAGAAGGUUUUCGGUAUGUAAAACGUUGUUAUUGGGGAAAAACGUUUUGGAAAGUAACGGGGCAUGUUUGAGGGGAACGGAUAAAGAAGCCCCGGGUAACUUCGUG